rnacentral:rRNA from 1 species
AGAUUAAGUUAUUAAGGGCGCACGGUGGAUGCCUUGGCACUAGAAGCCGAUGAAGGACGUUACUAACGACGAUAUGCUUUGGGGAGCUGUAAGUAAGCUUUGAUCCAGAGAUUUCCGAAUGGGGAAACCCAGCAUGAGUUAUGUCAUGUUAUCGAUAUGUGAAUACAUAGCAUAUCAGAAGGCACACCCGGAGAACUGAAACAUCUUAGUACCCGGAGGAAGAGAAAGAAAAUUCGAUUCCCUUAGUAGCGGCGAGCGAAACGGGAAGAGCCCAAACCAACAAGCUUGCUUGUUGGGGUUGUAGGACACUCUGUACGGAGUUACAAAGGACGACAUUAGACGAAUCAUCUGGAAAGAUGAAUCAAAGAAGGUAAUAAUCCUGUAGUCGAAAAUGUUGUCUCUCUUGAGUGGAUCCUGAGUACGACGGAGCACGUGAAAUUCCGUCGGAAUCUGGGAGGACCAUCUCCUAAGGCUAAAUACUCUCUAGUGACCGAUAGUGAACCAGUACCGUGAGGGAAAGGUGAAAAGCACCCCGGAAGGGGAGUGAAAUAGAACCUGAAACCGUGUGCUUACAAGU